AUUGAACGCCGGCGGCAUGCCUUACACAUGCAAGUCGAACGGUAACAGGCCGCAAGGUGCUGACGAGUGGCGAACGGGUGAGUAAUGCAUCGGAACGUGCCCAGUCGUGGGGGAUAACGCAGCGAAAGCUGCGCUAAUACCGCAUACGAUCUAUGGAUGAAAGCGGGGGACCGUAAGGCCUCGCGCGAUUGGAGCGGCCGAUGUCAGAUUAGGUAGUUGGUGGGGUAAAGGCUCACCAAGCCAACGAUCUGUAGCUGGUCUGAGAGGACGACCAGCCAGACGGGGACUGGGGCACGGCCCAGACUCCUACGGGAGGCAGCAGUGGGGAAUUUUGGACAAGGGGCGCAAGCCUGAUCCAGCAAUGCCGGGUGCAGGAAGAAGGCCUUCGGGUUGUAAACUGCUUUUGUACGGAACGAAACGGUCCUGGUUAAUACCCGGGGCUAAUGACGGUACCGUAAGAAUAAGCACCGGCUAACUACGUGCCAGCCGCCGCGGUAACAC
rnacentral:rRNA from 1 species